rnacentral:rRNA from 12 species
UGACCUCGGAUCAGGUAGGGAUACCCGCUGAACUUAAGCAU